GUUCUAAAACAUUCCAUCAUUUUUUGGACUUUUUUAUUUCUAAAAAAUUUAAAUCAAAACCUAUUAAAACACUUGAAGAAGAGAAUGGAACGAAGACGAAAAUACCCCGUAUCCUGAAUUGGGCGGUGAUGCUAAUUAUAACUGCAGUCAUGGUGUUUGAUAGAUAUUUUACAGAAGCUGUGAUGCCAUUAAUUGAAGAUGAAUACGGCAUUGAUAUAAAGAAGACUGCACUUGUAGAUGGACUAUUUGCUCUUGGCUUCACCAUUCUGGCUAUAAGUCCUGUCUUUAGAUAUUUUGGAGAUUGGUUAAGCCAGAAGACUAUAAUGUGUAUAGGGA